rnacentral:rRNA from 1 species
ACUAGGAAUUAUGCGCAAUGGACGAAAGUCUGACGCUGCGACGUCGCGUGGAGGAUGAAGGUCUUCGGAUUGUAAACUCCUUUUAUUGGGGAACAAGUUCUGAGUGUACCCAAUGAAUAAGUGCCUGCCAACCACGUGCCAGAAGCAUCGGUAAUACGUGGGACACAAGCGUUAUCCGGAUUUACUGGGCGUAAAGAGAUGCGUAGGUGUCUUAGUAAGUUCUGUGUUAAAUCCCAAUGCUCACCAUUGGAACUGCAUGGAAAACUAUUAAGAUUGAGCCAAAUAGAGGAAAGGGGAAUUCUUGGUGGAGCGGUUAAAUGCGUUGAUAUCAAGAGGAACACCAAAGGCGAAGGCACCUUUCUGGAUUUGUGCUGACACUAAGGCUCGAAAGCGUGGGGAGCAAAACGGAUUAGAAACCCGGGUAGUCC